rnacentral:rRNA from 1 species
GACGAACGCUGGCGGCGUGCUUAACACAUGCAAGUCGAACGGAAAGGCCCUGCUUUUGUGGGGUGCUCGAGUGGCGAACGGGUGAGUAACACGUGAGUAACCUGCCCUUGACUUUGGGAUAACUUCAGGAAACUGGGGCUAAUACCGGAUAGGAGCUCCUGCUGCAUGGUGGGGGUUGGAAAGUUUCGGCGGUUGGGGAUGGACUCGCGGCUUAUCAGCUUGUUGGUGGGGUAGUGGCUUACCAAGGCUUUGACGGGUAGCCGGCCUGAGAGGGUGACCGGCCACAUUGGGACUGAGAUACGGCCCAGACUCCUACGGGAGGCAGCAGUGGGGAAUAUUGCACAAUGGGCGGAAGCCUGAUGCAGCAACGCCGCGUGCGGGAUGAUGGCCUUCGGGUUGUAAACCGCUUUCGCCUGUGACGAAGCGUGAGUGACGGUAAUGGGUAAAGAAGCACCGACUAACUACGUG